CUUUCCGCGGCAGCGCCGUGGAGAGGAGGAGGUGGGCAGGGGAGGGGCUGCCAGGGAUGGGGCCGGGACUACCGGUCGAGCGGAGUCCGCUGGGAACGCGACUCCCAGGGCGGCCCGACCAGGAGGCGGCCUCUCAGGAGCUGGCUUGCCGUCCCUCCCGGGACCCCCGUCUGCUGUGCUGGGGGACAGCUUCUGAGGGUCCCCUCCUACCUGUCUCACAUACCCGGAACCUGAAAGAAUGGAAGAGAGCACCACUGUUCCCAGGCAGGGACACUCAUGAGGUCCACACAGCCACCCUUUAGGGGUCUUCCAGUUCAGCAAAUCAACUGCGGGAGCCUCCUGCUUCCACCAGAAGCGAGGACCCCUCCAUCCCCUGGACCUCCUGCACUUCAUGUCUUGGUGCCACUCCCUGGGUGGUGCUACUGGUAAAGAAGAACCCACCUGUCAAUGUGAGAAAUCUAAGAGAUGCAGGUCCCAUCCCUGAGUCUGUCAUAUACCCUGGAGGAGAUGCAUAGCAACCUGCUCCAGUAUCCUUGCCUGGAGAAUCCCAUGGACAGAAGAGCUUGAUGGGCUACAGUCCAUGGGGUCACACAGAGUUGGACAUGCCUGGAGCGACUGAGCACAGAUGCACCUGCACCUGUAAGACGGGAUGUUCAUAAUAGCACUAGGAUCAUGACAAGGUCUGAACGCAGUGACUCCUACAAAAUGUCUGGUACAGAAAUGGGCCUCGGCAAGUGGCAGUCUGAGGGCUGCUGGAGGGCAGGGGCUGGAUCUUCUUCACUCACCUCCCUGUGGUGCUCCAAGGCCUCAUGGGCACUCCCUGGAAAGGUGUUGAGCAAGCUGUGGCAGUUCUGCCUUGCCUGGCCAGCCGCAGUUCCCAAACUGGGCAGGGCUGAGCUUACAGGCUGCGGCUGGGGCUGGGGGAAGAGGGAGUCUCACCAGUGUGGGGUAGUAUUUCCAAAAGUCCCCACCACUGAGCCUAGUUUGGGUCUUUUUUAGAGCUGGGUGUGGAAAACUCCCUGCCUGGGUGCUGAACCCACAGACAGGAAUCAGCGUGCUUGGCCAUCCCCCUAGUUCAGUGGCAUCCACAAGAUGGCUGCUUCUGGAGGGCUGGGCAGAUGGGGCUGGAGCUCAGGCAGCCUUGAAACCCUCCUGCUAUUUUCCUAGUGACCCAGAUUUGUGGCCAGGUGCCGGUCUCACUCCUGGCUGGUUUGGCUGGAUCCAGGGUUUCCAGUUUUAGCAAAUAAAAAUACAGAAUGCCCAGUUCAAUUUAAAUGUCAGAUAAAUAAUGAAUAGUUUUGUAGGGUAAGUAUGGUCCAUUCCAUCUUUGGGACAUACUUACACUACGACAUUAUUUAUUGUUUCUCUGCAAAUCCCAUGUAACUGGACUCCCUGCAUUUUCCCUGGCAAACUUAGCUGGAGCUUGUCCAGACGCUGGGGACUGGAAGGGAUUCAAUCUUGGGGUGGCGGGGGGAGAGGUGGAGAGGGAGGGGACGGCUCCCACCCAAGGCACUUUGAAUUGAUUUCAGAACAAUGGCAGGGGUUGUUCUGUUUUUCUUUGCAUAGAAAAAGAGCAUUCCAUGUCACUCAAAAAGAAAACAGAGCGGUGGAUUGCAGCUCUGCCUUGCUCGACUGAUGUUGACCCAGAACAUGCCUAGACUCUGAAAGGGAUAUUGACUCUUAGACAAGUGGCUCUUUCAUCUUUCUCUGCACCUCGCCUUCUUAGGGUUGGUGCCCACCACCCCGUGGCCCUUUUGGAAUAUGCUUGGGAUGGGAUGUGCAGUGGCCAUUUGCCUCUCCAGAGGUCCCUGUUCUGCUGAGCUAUUCGGAUGCUCCAAGUACAAAGACCACUUGGUCAAGUGGCCUGAUUGGCAGGCUCAGGAACAGAUGUUAUAAAACAAAGAAGGGUAGUUCAAUUUCCUGAGCACCUCUGAAGCAUCAGGCCUUUUAUGUCACACAAGUUCUAAUCUUCACAACUCUGAGAAGCCAUGCCAUCAUUCCCAUUUGACAGAUGGGGAAACUGAGGCCCCUCAAGAAAAAAGCCUUGUGUGGGGUCAUACAGGAAGUGAGAGGUAUGGCUGUGGUUCAGACUUUGUUCUCUCUGAAUCCAGCACUUAAACUCUACCCCAUCCAUCCCCCUGCUCUGUGACCCUUGUGCCUACCAGCUUUCUGAAUCCAUGCUCCAGGUCUUGGUUUCCCUAUUUGGUAAAUGAGGGGUGGACAGAUGAAGUGAUUCUUGAGGUCUUUGCAAAGAUUGUCUUUAGGCACUUACCAUUUUCAUGCAUUUGCUAGUUGCUUGGCUUAAAACCCAACAUUAAAAAAAACUAAGAUCAUAGCAUCUGGUUCCAUCACAUCAUGGCAAAUAGAAGGGGGGAAAAGUGGAAGCAGUGACUUUCUUUUCUUGGGCUCCAAAACC